GUCUAUGGCCAUGCCACCCUGAACAAGCCCGAUGUAUGAUCUCAGAAGCAAGCAAGGUCGGGCCUGGUUAGUACUUGGGUGGGACACCACCUAAGAAGACCAGGUGCUGUAAGCA
rnacentral:rRNA from 1 species